UUUCAGGUUCUACCACAACUUGAAUCUCGUGGGAAUACCGAAGUUGACAGGCACCACUAAAUCUUGUGGAAAACAUAUUGAGUUUGUAAGCGAUGAUAGGUGUAAGGGAAAGGGAUACACUGACUGCAACACUGAUCGUGAAUCUUCAACAACCCGUCAAAGCUCUCUCCGUCGAUAAAAAUUUGAUGGUUUCUGAAGUAGUUUGCUGGUGGUUUUUGAAAUUCAAUGUUGAAUUGAUGUGUGUAUACAUAUAUGGAUUUAAUCGUGAUUAUAUAGAAUUGCAUUUUCUCUCUGCUUUCUGUUUUGUCAUGAAGAGAUUUAUAUUGUCAAUUGUAAAUCUAGGAUGGCCUUGGUCGAUUGGGUUUUCUAGAUAGCUAAGUUACAAGUUUGUUGUCUUUAUAAUUACAAAAUUUAACAAACUAAAUGGAAAAGGUAGAUAAUUCGGUUGUUUACUUGAUAUGUGCACCAAGGGUAGAUAAUUUUGGAGCUUCUGGGAAUUGAAGGAGGAAGAACAUAGUAUUUAAACAAAUUGAUAGAGUUGGAGGUAGAGAGCUAGGUUGUUUUUGAUCGGUGCUGUACUUAUCAUUUGCCAUACCUCUACAGAAGCUACAUAGGUAUGACAAAUCAAAAUGGAGGUGGGCUGACAGCAUCAAGAACCAUCCUGAUAAGGGCAGAGAUCCAGAAAAAGUAUUCAUCUUUAGCUUUUUCCAUGAAUCCCUGAUUAGGGUUUUUCCAAAUUUGGGUAUUUAGUCCUAGACUCACCAAGGAUGGCAUUUUUGUCACAAAGGCUGGUCCUGCUGGAAUUCCAGCCACAAAGAAGUAUUCUCUUGCAUAUAUCUAAUUCAACUUGCAUAUGUGGAAGAGGCUGGUGAUCUGUACAGGGGAGAAAUGGAGGAAUCGGAAAUGUAUAGAGUUUGAUAAUGGAAGAAUUAGAGAAGAGAAAUAUAACUAAUGCAUACACCCUUGACUAUCAGUGAAGUUGAUCCCAUAUUAGCCUCUUUCUCUGGAGGAGCUGUGGGAGUGAUCUUAACACUGACGGUGGCUGAGAAGUGAGUUUAUUUAUAUUGGUACAUUUGUACGGCUUGCACAUUGACAAAAUAUGAUAUGGAAAUUAUGUUAAGAAGAAACAUGAGAUUAUAUACGGAAGGAUAAAUA